UACGUAGGCAGCAAGCGUUGUUCGGAAUUACUGGGCGUAAAGAGUGUGUAGGCGGUUCGCCAAGUUUGGUGUGAAAUCUCCCGGCUUAACUGGGAGGGUGCGCCGAAAACUGGCGGGCUUGAGGGUGGGAGAGGUAAGCGGAAUUUCUGGUGUAGCGGUGAAAUGCGUAGAUAUCAGAAGGAACACCUGUGGUGUAGACAGCUUACUGGACCACUUCUGACGCUGAGACACGAAAGCGUGGGUAGCAAACAGG
rnacentral:rRNA from 1 species